CCCAGAGUAACUUUCUGUGAGAGGUUAGACUCUGGUUAGAAUAUGUUAGCUCAAAACAAAGAAAAGAAAACGCGUGUAGUUUCUGUGUCUCUUGAUCUUGCAUCUCAGCGCAUCUGAAUCUGCAGAAUCUCAAUGGAUCGCAAUGGAUCAUUGGUAAAUAAAGCCGGCAUUGGAUGGAGACAGUAUCUUGUCGUGAAGCGAAAGAUCGAAGGACCGAGGCCCGAGAAAAUUUCAUUUCGGUAACGCUGGUUGGAUUCUGAGAAACCAUGCAUCGGGCGAAACGGAAACAUUUGUACCGAAAAUUGGAAACACACAAGGAACGCUGGAUGGAUUAAGUUUAGUCAGGAGAGCUGUUGUUGAAUAGGAAGGAUCCCAGGUCGUUGGACACUGGCCUUGCUACACAUCUCGAAAUGCAAUGUGUGAUGCAACUAUAAUUUCCUAUAGUCUAUACAUUAUAAAACACGGGAGGAUAAAGAUAAAAUUAUAGUUUCAUAAUACAUUACCUUAAUUAAGCUAAAUGUGGUUAAUCUACAUGUAUAACAAUUAUUUUGGUAAAUAUAGAAAAUUUCUA